AGUGAGGCCAGCAGGUUGGUUCUCCCUGGCUGAGUGACCCCUUUGCUGCUGUAAGCACUGUCUGUCUGCCCUUCUGUGGCCUGCUGGCCCACAAUCUCACCUUCCUGAUGGAGUUAGAAAGAGGUCUGCUUCCAAACCCCUCCAGUGUGAACUUCUCCACCCUCUUCUGUCUCUCCUGGAACAUUCGAGAACCUCUAUUUGACAGCAGGUUUAACUCCUCCAUCAUUACAUCCUGAGGAACACUGAUCUUCUUUCCCAGGAGAAUGAGGAGAGUGAGACUAACACAUGCCCGUCCGACACGUGUGCAGUAGCCGACUGCAUCGUUUCACCUGCACAAGGAUGAACUCUGGCGCAACUGUGACACUGAUCAUAAUGAAGUGAUUGUUGCCCUCCUGAGGGUAUUUUCUACCUCGCAGCCAGUGUUUAUGGGCGCCGCUGGACACACCACACCCAUGACCAGGAUAAAGUGAUUUUUAAAAAAGGAUUUUGUGAUUCGUCCACUGAGGAUCAAGCUGCUUAUGCUAACACAUUAACCUGACAGCAGGAGUUGAUGUUGCAGUAGCAAGGACAGGAUUUCUCAUCUGACCCCCCUCCUGCAGACACGUUCAUUUGUUUCUGUUGACUGCUGCACUCCCCUAAUUAGUUUUAG